rnacentral:rRNA from 1 species
AUUGAACGCUGGCGGCAUGCUUUACACAUGCAAGUCGAACGGCAGCGCGGGCUUCGGCCUGGCGGCGAGUGGCGAACGGGUGAGUAAUGCAUCGGAACGUGCCCAGUAGUGGGGGAUAGCCCGGCGAAAGCCGGAUUAAUACCGCAUACGACCUGAGGGUGAAAGCGGGGGACCGAAAGGCCUCGCGCUAUUGGAGCGGCCGAUGUCGGAUUAGCUAGUUGGUGGGGUAAAGGCUUACCAAGGCGACGAUCCGUAGCUGGUCUGAGAGGACGACCAGCCACACUGGGACUGAGAAACGGCCCAGACUCCUACGGGAGGCAGCAGUGGGGAAUUUUGGACAAUGGGGGCAACCCUGAUCCAGCCAUGCCGCGUGCGGGAAGAAGGCCUUCGGGUUGUAAACCGCUUUUGUUCGGGAAGAAAUCCUCUGGGCUAAUACCCCGGGGGGAUGACGGUACCGGAAGAAUAAGCACCGGCUAACUACGUG